rnacentral:rRNA from 1 species
GACGAACGCUGGCGGCGUGCCUAAUACAUGCAAGUCGAGCGAAGCGGCGGAUGGGUGAGUAACGCGUGGGUAACCUGCCCUUAAGUCUGGGAUACCAUUUGGAAACAGAUGCUAAUACCGGAUACUAAAGGAUGGACCUGCGAUGCAUUAGCUAGUUGUUAAGGUAACGGCUUACAAAGGCGAUGAUGCAUAGGCGAGUUGGGAGAGUGAGCGGCCACAUUGUGACUGAGACACGGCCCUAACUCCUACGGGAGGCAGCAGUAGGGAAUCGUCCACAAUGGACGAAAGUCUGAUGGUGCAACGCCGCGUGCUUGAAGAAGGUUUUCUGAUCGUAAAGUUCUGUUGUUGGUGAAGCGGUAAUCAACCAGAAAGUGACGGCUUACUACGAGCCAGCCGCCGCGGUAAUUC